ACGUUCAAAUUGGGGCACUUUCUAAAGUAAUCUUUGAAUCUUUCUCAUACUUCUAGAUAGCUCUCGAAAUCUCUUUGCUUGAAAAUAUGGACUUCAUUUUGGAUCU
rnacentral:snoRNA from 1 species